ACUAGUUUAGCAUAAUUAAUAAUGCAGUGGUUUGUAGCACCAUUUAUAGAUUUUCUCUAACUGGGA
rnacentral:tRNA from 1 species